rnacentral:rRNA from 1 species
UACGGAGGGAGCUAGCGUUGUUCGGAAUUACUGGGCGUAAAGCGCACGUAGGCGGCUUUGUAAGUUAGAGGUGAAAGCCCGGGGCUCAACUCCGGAACUGCCUUUAAGACUGCAUCGCUUGAAUCCAGGAGAGGUGAGUGGAAUUCCGAGUGUAGAGGUGAAAUUCGUAGAUAUUCGGAGGAACACCAGUGGCGAAGGCGGCUCACUGGUCCAUUACUGACGCUGAGGUGCGAAAGCGUGGGGAGCGAACAGG